UUCGCAUAAAGGGCAGGUGGCGCAGUAUUCUAGUCGAAAUCUGCUUCUCUGAAGACGGGGCUAAAAAUCCGUCAAGGGCACAUCGAUGAAGUUCUUUGUGCUGGCUUUCGACGCCCAGUCGGGGGCUGGUGCAGGGAGUAAGGAAGUGGGGCGGCCUGCAACGGCAUGCGGGAUUACGACCCUAUUUCCGUGGAGACCCAAGUUUGUGGUCUAAUCGUCAGGAAAAGGCUACGGCUUGGGGGGUUAACCUGCAUCCGAUACUUAUAUAAGUGUUGGGUGCAGUGUAGCCUGCCUUGAGUGGUAUGGGUGGAAAAAGUAUUUUUACUUUGAAACCCAUGCUGCAAAAGAGGCUAGGAGAAGCGUGAUUUCGGUGAGGAAAACUCCUAGACUGUUCUCUCCAAUGGGAAGCGGAGCGGGGAUUACAGUGCGGACUAAGUGGCAAUCCAGUCCUGCUUCUGGCAACAAAGCAGAAGAAGGCUUAAAGGGGAACCGCCCGGGCGGCGACGACGGGUGCCUUCUUGGGAAAACCUACUGGACCUAAGCCGCAAUAUUUACCUGCUUCGUUGCCUCCUGCCCCCAUGAUUAC
rnacentral:sRNA from 1 species